rnacentral:misc_RNA from 1 species
GAUGAAGAACGUAGCGAAAUGCGAUAAGUAAUGUGAAUUGCAGACUUCAGUGAAUCAUCGAAUCUUUGAACGCACAUUGCGCCCGCUAGUAUUCUGGCGGGCAUGCCUGUUCGAGCGUCAUUUCAACCCUCAAGCCCAGCUUGGUGUUGGGGGCCGGCCGCGACUUAACCGCCGCGGCCGCCCCCGAAAUACAGUGGCGGUCUCGCUGCAGCCUCCCUUGCGUAGUAGCACACCUCGCACCGGAGCGCGGCGCGGCCACGCCGUUAAACCCCCAAACUUCUGAAUGUUGACCUCGGAUCAGGUAGGAAUACCCGCUGAACUUAAGCAUAUCAAUAAGCGGAGGA